CACGUAGGCACCAAGCGUUGUCCGGAUUUAUUGGGCGUAAAGAGCUCGUAGGCGGUUCUCCAAGUCCGUUGUGAAAUCCCCGGGCUUAACCUGGGAAUGGCAGUGGAAACUAGGGGACUUGAAUCUGGCAGAGGGGGGUGGAAUUCCACGUGUAGCAGUGAAAUGCGUAGAGAUGUGGAGGAACACCGAUGGCGAAGGCAGCCCCCUGGGCUGAGAUUGACGCUGAGUGCACGAAAGCGUGGGGAGCAAACAGG
rnacentral:rRNA from 1 species